UGGCUUAGUGGUUAAGCAUUGGGCUGCUAACCAAAAGGUCGGCAGUUUGAAUCUGGC
rnacentral:tRNA from 1 species